GAUGAAGAACGUAUCGAAAUGCGAUAAGUAAUGUGAAUUGCAGAAUUCAGUGAAUCAUCGAGUCUUUGAACGCACAUUGCGCCCCCUGGUAUUCCGGGGGGCAUGCCUGUCCGAGCGUCAUUACAACCCUCAAGCUCAGCUUGGUGUUGGGCCCCGCCGCCCCGGCGGGCCCUAAAGUCAGUGGCGGUGCCGUCCGGCUCCGAGCGUAGUAAUUCUUCUCGCUCUGGAGGUCCGGUCGUGUGCUCGCCAGCAACCCCCAAUUUUUUUCAGGUUGACCUCGGAUCAGGUAGGGAUACCCGCUGAACUUAAGCAUAUCAAUAAGCGGAGGA
rnacentral:misc_RNA from 1 species